AUGAUGCUUUUUGACGAAAUAGAGCAUGCGGAGGAGCAUGUUCUCAACUUCAAGGUUUCAACGUUGGGAGAUAGUGUUGAAUCGGCGUCGGAACCAGAACAUGUUGAUCUCUACGAGGACUACUUUGUCCCCGAUGCGCUAUUCGACCACUAUUUUCAUCGUCGAUAUUGGAUGCAUCGACCAUUGUUCUUGCGCAUCAUGGAAGAUGUCAGAGCUUAUGAUGAUUACUUCGAGCUCAAGAAGGAUUCUGUUGGCUACAUUGGGUUCUCUGAUCUCCAGAAGUGCACGACUGCUACGAGAAUGGUUGGUAUGGAACAAUCGCAGACCACCGGAAUGAGUACCUUUAGAUUUCUAAGAGCACAUCCUCGAAGCCAUGGUCAGAUUUGCUAA
rnacentral:rRNA from 1 species